ensembl:lncRNA
CUGUGAUAGUAGACACUGAGUUGCAGGCGAGUUAAAGUCUGAGCGGUUUCUAAAAGCUCUGCGAUUGAAAUCAUGGCACGGAACAAGACUCAAGUACAUUUCGCUGUCAUCCUCCUACUGUGCAUGGUCACCCUGGCUCUGGCCGCCCCUGCUGAAUCCCAGUGUUUCGGGAAACUCGACAGUGGCCAGGUCCGCUUUGACCUGCCAUCGCGCAUCACCACCGUGAUGAGUGACCCCACCUGCGACGCUGUUUGGAGUAUUGAUGACGUGGUCGUGGUCUCUACCGAAGGCUUUAUUCCUCCGGUCACCUCGGCCACCGCAGGAACAGUCUUCAUGAACAUCUGCCCUGCCGCGCUGAUCUUCCAUCUUAGUUGCCCCGACAGUGAUUUUCAUGAGAAGCUGCGGUGCUCAUGUCCAGGCGCAACAACAGGAGCGAAGUCACAGUCAGGAUCGUCCUCAGGCGCUCACAAGCACACAGUGGCCUUCGGGUGGCUGGUUACGGUCAGCAUCAUGUGGCUGCUCACCUUUUGAGAGGAAUGCUGAACCACAAAGAGGACAAAGAAAAGAGCAGCGAUGGACAUCGUCAUCAAUCGGAUGAACGAUUCCACAAUAAUGCCUUAUUAUGUGUGUAUGUGUGUGUGUG